CCCCUUUUAAAAGCACUCAAUGGGCCUUUUGCUAGUGACCCACUGAGCCAUCAAGAAGGGGCAAAGUAAAAACACUGCUUUCGGGUAAAGUAGCAAAUUGUGUUGUUUUACUUCAAUCGGUGUUUUGACAAGA
rnacentral:snoRNA from 1 species